GUCUACUGCACCACCCUGUUCUAUUAUUUUAGUUACCCAAUCAAAAAAAUCAAUAAGUUAAAGGUUAAUUAGUUUGUAGGGGUUCAUAGGAAUUCCCCUUUGCCAUUAAAAGGACAUUCCAGACCCCUAAAGCACUUUAGCUUGCUGAAAAUCUUUAUGUGUGAAAAGUGUGUCAAUAGAAUUUGACACUUUUAUGAAUUUACCUAGUAAUACCACCUCUGGCUUUCAGACAAACAACCAGUCCUGUUACAUCCCAGUUUGGUUAGCUCAACAGAGCUAAACUCAAGAGGCCGCAAUUACAAAGAGCACCUG